rnacentral:rRNA from 1 species
CAGUAGCCACGGUAAUACGUAGGUGGCAAGCGUUGUCCGGAAUUAUUGGGCGUAAAGGGCUCGCAGGCGGUUUCUUAAGUCUGAUGUGAAAGCCCCCGGCUCAACCGGGGAGGGUCAUUGGAAACUGGGAAACUUGAGUGCAGAAGAGGAGAGUGGAAUUCCACGUGUAGCGGUGAAAUGUGUAGGGAUGUGGAGGAACACCAGUGGCGAAGGCGACUCUCUGGUCUGUAACUGACGCUGAGGAGCGAAAGCGUGGGGAGCAAACUGGAUUAGAUACCCGAGUAGUCCCUGUCUCUUAUAC